GAUGAACGCUGGCGGCGUGCCUAAUACAUGCAAGUCGAGCGAACAGACGAGGAGCUUGCUCCUCUGACGUUAGCGGCGGACGGGUGAGUAACACGUGGAUAACCUACCUAUAAGACUGGGAUAACUUCGGGAAACCGGAGCUAAUACCGGAUAAUAUAUUGAACCGCAUGGUUCAAUAGGGAAAGACGGUUUUGCUGUCACUUAUAGAUGGAUCCGCGCCGCAUUAGCUAGUUGGUAAGGUAACGGCUUACCAAGGCAACGAUGCGUAGCCGACCUGAGAGGGUGAUCGGUCACACUGGAACUGAGACACGGUCCAGACUCCUACGGGAGGCAGCAGUAGGGAAUCUUCCGCAAUGGGCGAAAGCCUGACGGAGCAACGCCGCGUGAGUGAUGAAGGUCUUCGGAUCGUAAAACUCUGUUAUUAGGGAAGAACAAAUGUGUAAGUAACUAUGCACGUCUUGACGGUACCUAAUCAGAAAGCCACGGCUAACUACGUG
rnacentral:rRNA from 1 species